rnacentral:rRNA from 1 species
GGGCGGAAGCCUGAUGCAGCGACGCCGCGUGAGGGAUGACGGCCUUCGGGUUGUAAACCUCUUUCAGCAGGGACGAAGCGUAAGUGACGGUACCUGCAGAAGAAGCGCCGGCCAACUACGUGCCAGCAGCCGCGGUAAGACGUAGGGCGCGAGCGUUGUCCGGAUUUAUUGGGCGUAAAGAGCUCGUAGGCGGCUUGUCGCGUCGACUGUGAAAACCCGCAGCUCAACUGCGGGCCUGCAGUCGAUACGGGCAGGCUAGAGUUCGGUAGGGGAGACUGGAAUUCCUGGUGUAGCGGUGAAAUGCGCAGAUAUCAGGAGGAACACCGGUGGCGAAGGCGGGUCUCUGGGCCGAUACUGACGCUGAGGAGCGAAAGCGUGGGGAGCGAACAGGAUUAGAUACCCUGGUAGUCCACGCUGUAAACGUUGGGCGCUAGGUGUGGGGGGCCUCUCCGGUUCCCUGUGCCGCAGCUAACGCAUUAAGCGCCCCGCCUGGGGAGUACGGCCGCAAGGCUAAAACUCAAA